rnacentral:rRNA from 1 species
AUUGAACGCUGGCGGCGUGCUUAACACAUGCAAGUCGUGCGGUAACAGGCGUAGCAAUACGUGCUGACGAGCGGCGAACGGGUGCGUAAUACAUGGGAAUCUGCCCUUUAGUGGGGAAUAACCCGGCGAAAGCCGGGCUAAUGCCGCAUAAGAUCUUCGGAUGAAAGCGGGGGAGUCGUAAGACCUCCGCGCUGAUGGAUGAGCCCACUGUCGGAUUAGUCAGUUGGUUGAGGUAACGGCUCACCAAGGCGACGAUCCGUAGCUGGUCUGAGAGGACGGCCAGCCACACUGGGAC